UACGAAGGGGGCUAGCGUUGUUCGGAUUUACUGGGCGUAAAGGGCGCGUAGGCGGUCAGCACAAGUCAGUUGUGAAAUCUCCGAGCUUAACUCGGAAAGGUCAACUGAUACUGUGCGACUAGAGUGCGGAAGGGGCAACUGGAAUUCUUGGUGUAGCGGUGAAAUGCGUAGAUAUCAAGAGGAACACCUGCGGCGAAGGCGGGUUGCUGGGCCGACACUGACGCUGAAGCGCGAAAGCCAGGGGAGCGAACGGG
rnacentral:rRNA from 1 species